GCGUGGGUCGGCCCGCUGUACUGACCAGUGGGCUGGGGGACACCGCCGCCUCACAUCCCCGCGGGCGGCGGUCCGGCCCGGGGGGCGUGCUCCGUUUCCCGGGCCGUG
rnacentral:ncRNA from 1 species